AACGAACGCUGGCGGCAUGCCUAACACAUGCAAGUCGAACGAAACCGUCGGGUCUAGUUGCGCACGGGUGGGUAACGCGUGGGAACCUACCCUUAGGUUCGGAAUAACUCCCCGAAAGGGGUGCUAAUACCGGAUAAUGUCUUCGGACCAAAGAGUUAUCGCCUUUGGAUGGGGCCGCGUUGGAUUAGCUAGUUGGUAGGGUAAAAGCCUACCAAGGCGACGAUCCAUAGCUGGUCUGAGAAGAUGACAAGCCAGACUGGGAAUGAGACACGGCCCAGACUCCUACGGGAGGGAGCAGUAGGGAAUAUUGGACAAUGGGCGAAAGCCUGAUACAGCAAUGCCGCGUGAGUGAUGAAGGCCUUAGGGUUGUAAAGCUCUUUUACACGGGAUGAUAAUGACAGUACCGGGAGAAUAAGCUCCGGCUAACUACGUG
rnacentral:rRNA from 1 species